rnacentral:rRNA from 1 species
CCUACGGGUGGCAGCAGUAGGGAAUAUUGCUCAAUGGGGGAAACCCUGAAGCAGCAACGCCGCGUGGAGGAUGAAGGUUUUCUGAUUGUUAACUCCUUUUGUUAUAGAAGUUAAUGACGGUAUCUAACGAAUAAUCACCGGCUAACUUCGGGCCAGCAGCCGCGGUAAUACGGAGGGUGCGAGCGUUAUACGGAGUCACCGGGCGUAAAGGGGGCGUAGGAGGGAUAGCAAGUCAGUUGUGAAAUCCUGAGGCUUAACCAUAAAACUGCAGUUGAAAAUGGUAGUUUAGAGUAUAGGAGAGGUAGGUGGAAUUCGUGGUGUAGCGGUGAAAUCCGUAGAUAUCAAGAAGAA